CUGGAGCUGUUCACUCAGUGGGACUGGAGCUCCUACCUGGCUGACUACGGGAAACCCAGCUGUAAAUACCUGAGAGUGAAUCCACACACUGCUCUGAUCCUGCUGGAGAAGAUGAGGGAGACGAGCAGGAAGAACAACGUCUUCGCUCAGUUCAGGAAGACGGACCGAGACCGACAGAAACUCAUCGACACCAUCAUCAAACAGCUGCGUAACCUCAUCGCCCAGCAACAGGCCUGAAGCGAGCCGUCUGAUUGGCCCGCAGGCCUGAAGCCCCCGUCCUGAUUGGCUGUUUUCCACCAUCCUGCCUUCAUCGUUCUGUUUUCGCAAGCGUCUGCUGAUCCAUGCACCUUAACUUCGCCAAACUCCACUGAACAAACGACGUCGUGGCGGUUCAUUGAACACGCCUCUUCCUGGAUAUCAGCCCCUAACUUAGCCAUGUUAUAGGUUAGUUACUGCCCUUAAUCCAAUCUGAGUAGUCUAUUGAUUGGAGACGAGUAAGGAAAGACGUGUUCAGUUAUCUUAUUACCAAAUUACUUACUUAUCAUAUUAGAUCUUGUUCCCACAAAAGUCAACGUUAAAGUGGCAUAUGUUGUUGAAACGAUGUGGUUAUUGAAACUAGCGAUAAAAGUAGUUAUUAAAACUCUCAAUCUACUUGUUGCAUUUGACAUAUUUCUAGGUGUGCAGCUUGGUAGCCUUUCUUUUUGUAAGAAGUCACAUUUCCAGAGGUUUUUUUCUUUGUACCACAAGCUUCCAAUUCCUAAAAUGUAAGCAGUGUGUCCUCCCCUUCUUUAUAUUCUCCUUUCAUGUCUUCCACGUUGCUCUUUUCUCACUGUGGCACAACAUAUUGAAUGUACAUCAGAGAGGAAGCAGCCAGAAAAGCACUGAGAUCAAGAUGAGGUCUGUAAAAAAAAAAAAAAAAACUAGAAUGUUCCUUCAGUGUUGUCUAAUAAAGGGGGAUAUUAACGCAACAUGGCAACCCUUUCCCCUCGAUAUAUACAACCUGCAAACACUUGAAUGGGCGACAAUGCUCAGACCUGGCAACCUUGUUCCCUCUUCUUCACGAUUGUAAACAAAGUGGGGGUUUAAAAGAGGGGAUGUUGUCCAAACAUGGCAACCCAUUCCUCAGCUUCCAGUCAAACUUGAUCAGGUGUUGCCAGAGCGUUUUUUCUACUCUAAAUGUAUAACUGGGUCUUAAAGAGAAGUUCGCCCCCCAAAAUUGACAAAUAGACUAAUGUUGUAUAGGAACCAUUGUACUUGUAACGCCAAGCACACACACACAUUUAUGUCUUCCGUAAACCAAGCAGUGUGUGUGUGUAGGUUUGUUUAGUUGGAGCACAGCACAUAUUACAUUAGAUUAUUUUUAUUAACUUAUAUGGGUCUUUUUGUUGCUUGUUUUUCCUUCAACUUGGGUGCAAUAAUAGCAUUGGAAACUGUGUGUGUGUGUGUGUGUGUGUGUGUGUGUGUGUGUGUGUGUGUGUGUGUGUGUGUGUGUGUGUGUGUGUGUGUGUUUUAAAAAGGGAUUCAAACGUACAGUGUGUGUGUCAGAUGGGAAUUUAAGUCUUCCUCUUCCUUACAAUAUGUUGCCAUGUUUGAUUUACUGAGCGACCACGCGUCAUGUGUGUUUGAUUUCACGUGUGUGUGUGUUUUCCAUCCAUCCUACGCUGUGUAUCACUUCUAGGUGUUAGAAAGGGAACGGGCCGUCGUUAUUGAAUGUGCCUUUGCUGUAUUUUGGGUUAUUUUCCUGCCAAUGAAGCGCCAACACUGUGGCGUUUGGAGUCUGGACGCUUUCUGCGAUAUCAAUUAAGUAUUCGUUGUAGCAUUUGAUCCUUUACGGUUUGCAGAAUGUCCAUUCAAACUCACUUCCUAGUUGUAUUAGUACAUUACCUUUGUUCUUUGUCCAGACUCCUCUCGCUGCAGGCGUUGCCGUUUACUUUGUUUUGUAUUUUGUAAAAAGCAGAACUCUUUGCUGAGACAGAAGCACUGUAUACGCUGUUGUAUUAAAACCACUUAUGAAUGAAACUUAAGUCAAAUACUAAUAAAACGGCAACACAUAUGAA